rnacentral:lncRNA from 1 species
UAUAAACUCUUAAUAAGAACACCUAUGAAUAUUUAUGAAGAGCAUAAUUUUACAGAGGAACACCCAAGUAAUGGUCACAGGAAUUGAAGAGCUUGCAAGGGUCAAGCGCUAAUCAGUGAUGGAACUUGGUUUUAAACUCCAUUAUUUCCUGCAGCAGAGUCUACAUCCUCAAAUGUUUCACCAUGCCAUCUACAGUCUGAUGUGCUUUCCAGAUUUCUCACCAUUCCACUUGAUCUCCUUUAAAUGACUUUGAUUUGAGAGUGUGCAUCUUCAAAUAUAGUGCUCAGAACUGGAUGCAAUGCUCACAAUAUCAUGUGACCAGCACUAAGUCGAUACAAGUUUAUUCCUUUGAAUUUGUCCUGGCGUUUGACAAGGAUAUUGUGGAUAUUAAAGAUAUUUAUUUCACAAGCUUUACUGAAUCAAUGUUUCCUAGACCUACAUUAUCUAUUUAAUUUAUCAGUUCCUAAAUUAUAUUAAUUUGGAUAAAUGGAAG